rnacentral:rRNA from 1 species
CAGAGAACUUAGCAGAGAUGCUUUGGUGCCUUCGGGAACUCUGAGACAGGUGCUGCAUGGCUGUCGUCAGCUCGUGUUGUGAAAUGUUGGGUUAAGUCCCGCAACGAGCGCAACCCUUAUCCUUUGUUGCCAGCGGUCCGGCCGGGAACUCAAAGGAGACUGCCAGUGAUAAACUGGAGGAAGGUGGGGAUGACGUCAAGUCAUCAUGGCCCUUACGAGUAGGGCUACACACGUGCUACAAUGGCAUAUACAAAGAGAAGCGACCUCGCGAGAGCAAGCGGACCUCAUAAAGUAUGUCGUAGUCCGGAUUGGAGUCUGCAACUCGACUCCAUGAAGUCGGAAUCGCUAGUAAUCGUAGAUCAGAAUGCUACGGUGAAUACGUUCCCGGGCCUUGUACACACCGCCCGUCACACCAUGGGAGUGGGUUGCAAAAGAAGUAGGUAG